rnacentral:rRNA from 1 species
UAGGGAAUCUUCCGCAAUGGACGCAAGUCUGACGGAGCAACGCCGCGUGAGUGAAGAAGGAUUUCGGUUCGUAAAACUCUGUUGUUAGAGAAGAACAGCGCAUAGAGUAACUGUUAUGCGUGUGACGGUAUCUAACCAGAAAGCCACGGCUAACUACGUGCCAGCAGCCGCGGUAAUACGUAGGUGGCAAGCGUUGUCCGGAUUUAUUGGGCGUAAAGCGAGCGCAGGCGGUCAAUUAAGUCUGAUGUGAAAGCCCCCGGCUCAACCGGGGAGGGUCAUUGGAAACUGGUUGACUUGAGUGCAGAAGAGGAGAGUGGAAUUCCAUGUGUAGCGGUGAAAUGCGUAGAUAUAUGGAGGAACACCAGUGGCGAAGGCGACUUUCUGGUCUGUAACAGACGCUGAGGUUCGAAAGCGUGGGUAGCAAACAGG